AACUUUUGGCAACGGAUCUCUUGGUUCUGGCACCGAUGAAGAACGCAGCGAAAUGCGAUAAGUAAUGUGAAUUGCAGAAUUCAGUGAAUCAUCGAAUCUUUGAACGCACAUUGCGCCCGCCAGUAUUCUGGCGGGCAUGCCUGUUCGAGCGUCAUUUCAACCAUCAAGCCCCAGGCUUGUGUUGGGGCCCUGCGGCUGCCGCAGGCCCUGAAAAACAGUGGCGGGCUCGCUGUCACACCGAGCGUAGUAAUACAUCUCGCUUUGGACGUGCGGCGGGUUCUUGCCGUGAAACACCCCCCUUCUCAAGGUUGACCUCGGAUCAGGUAGGAAUACCCGCUGAACUUAAGCAUAUCAAUAAGCGGAGGCU
rnacentral:misc_RNA from 1 species